rnacentral:lncRNA from 1 species
AAUUGAAGACAUUGUUCUCAUUACGUCUCUUUAGGACCAUCUCUUAUUCACAGCAAGCGGUAACACCAGCUUUCCAUUAUGGUCCUUGCGGUGGACGCAGGUCCUGCUAGGCAAAUGCCUUACAUCCCCGCUCCGUGGCCACGCCCCUUUGCAGUUAGGCGGGGCCGCGGGUUGCUCUUGACCUGCCAACUGAGUAGUUGAAAAAGCAGAUGCCACUUUCCAGGCUGAAACAGUCUUGAGCCUGCGGGCAGCGCCUCCCGCCUCUUCUGCCUCAGGGAUCUUGGAGGACCACAGAAGGGGAAGAGAGCCCUUUCCUCCACCCAGCUAGGUGCGAGAGCUGGGUCUACAAAGUAAACCGACAACAGGCAGAUUAACAGAAGAAAAGGUGGGGGGAAUUUGAACACAGGCACAUGGGGAGAAUCCUGCAUGAAGAAGGCAGAGAUUGAGCCAAUGCAUAAACUAAGGAAGGCCAAAGAUCUCCAGAAGACCACCAGAAGGUAGGAAAGAUGCAUGGAGCUGACAGAAUCAACCCUGACACCUCAACCUUGGACUUCUUGGCUCCAGAAUGCCUUAUUCAGCUCCCUUAUAAGGAAAAACUAUGCCCCUUGAAGUCUUGCAGAUUGGAGUGGUUAUUAGGAAUCUGAGCUUGCAGACGAGAGAUGGAUGUCAUGCAAAAAGUUAAAAGUGGAAAGAAAAUAUAAAAAAUGAAACAUUCUUGCUCUCUUUCUGUUUCUCUCUCUCUCUCUCACAGAAGCACACACACCACUUAUAAAUACAAAUUGUUUCCCACUGG